GACGAACGCUGGCGGCGUGCUUAACACAUGCAAGUCGAACGAAGUGGCGAACGGGUGAGUAACGCGUAAUCAACCUGCCCUUCAGAGGGGGACAACAGUUGGAAACGACUGCUAAUACCACAUACUGAAGGAGGGGAUUGCGUCUGAUUAGCUAGUUGGAGGGGUACAGGCCCACCAAGGAGAUGAUCAGUAGACGGCUUUAGAGGAGGAACGGCCACAUUGGGAUGGAGACACGGCCCAGACUCCUACGGUAGGCAGCAGUGGGGAAUAGUCCGCAAUGGACGAAAGUCUGACUGAGCAACGCCGCGUGAGUGAUGACGGCCUUCGGGUUGUAAAGCUCUGUUAAUCGGGACGCGGGACCGGAAUAGAAAGCCACGGCUAACUACGUGCCAGCAGCCGCGGUAAUUC
rnacentral:rRNA from 1 species